GUGAGUAGUUCAGAGUUUGAUCCUGGCUCAGGAUGAACGCUAGCGGCAGGCCUAAUACAUGCAAGUCGAACGGUAAAUGUCCCUUCGGGGAUAUUAGAGUGGCGCACGGGUGCGUAACGCGUAUGCAACCUACCCAAUGCUGGAGGAUAGCCCGGAGAAAUUCGGAUUAACCCUCCAUGAGGAGCUGAUGGGGCAUCCCAAUGGUUUCAAAUAUUCAUAGGCGUUGGAUGGGCAUGCGUGCUAUUAGAUAGUUGGCGGGGUAACGGCCCACCAAGUCGACGAUAGCUAGGGGAUCUGAGAGGACGGUCCCCCACACUGGUACUGAGACACGGACCAG
rnacentral:rRNA from 1 species